GACGUAGGGGACGAGCGUUGUCCGGAUUCAUUGGGCGUAAAGCGCGCGUAGGCGGCCGGCCAAGUCGGGUGUGAAAUCCCUCGGCUCAACCGAGGAACUGCACUCGAUACUGGCUGGCUUGAGUCCGGGAGGGGAUGGUGGAAUUCCCAGUGUAGCGGUGAAAUGCGUAGAUAUUGGGAGGAACACCAGUGGCGAAGGCGGCCUUCUGGGCCUGUCCUGACGCUGAGGCGCGAAAGCGUGGGGAGCGAACCGG
rnacentral:rRNA from 1 species